rnacentral:rRNA from 1 species
GCCAUAGGGUAUUUCCUCCUAGGUAACGCACGAGUGAAGUGGGAAAAGCUCAACUUUGAAAUCUGGCUGUUUUACAGUCCGAGUUGUAGUCUCGAGAAGUGUUUUCCGCGUUAAACCGUGUAUGAGUCUGUUGGAACACAGCGUCAUAGAGGGUGAGAACCCCGUUCAUGACACGGCUUUUAAUGCUUUGUGAUACAUUUUCGAUGAGUCGAGUUGUUUGGGAAUGCAGCUCAAAUUGGGUGGUAAAUUCCAUCUAAAGCUAAAUAUUGGCGAGAGACCGAUAGCAAACAAGUACCGUGAGGGAAAGAUGAAAAGCACUUUGGAAAGAGAGUUAAAAGUACGUGAAAUUGUCGAAAGGGAAACGCUUGAAGUCAGACGUGCACGGGAUUUAUUCCUAUUGCAGGCCAACAUCGGUUUUACGAGCCGGAUAAAGGUACAAGGAAGGUAGCAGUUUCGGCUGUGUUAUAGCCUCGUACUGAAUACGGAUUGUGAGACCGAGGGACGCAGCGCGCCGCAAGGCAAAGGGUCCGCCCUUUUCGCGCUUAGGAUGUUGGUGAAAUGGCUUUAAUCGACCCGUCUUGAAACACGGACCA